rnacentral:rRNA from 1 species
UACGUAGGGUGCAAGCGUUGUCCGGAAUUAUUGGGCGUAAAGAGCUCGUAGGCGGCCUGUCGCGUCGGCUGUGAAAACCCGGGGCUCAACCCCGGGCCUGCAGUCGAUACGGGCAGGCUAGAGUCCGGCAGGGGAGACUGGAAUUCCUGGUGUAGCGGUGAAAUGCGCAGAUAUCAGGAGGAACACCGGUGGCGAAGGCGGGUCUCUGGGCAAUUCCUGACGCUGAGGCGCGAAAGCGUGGGGAGCAAACGGG